GACGAACGCUGGCGGCGUGCCUAACACAUGCAAGUCGAGCGGGGUGGAGGCGAGAGGUAACUCAAGCUUCUACCUAGCGGCGGACGGGUGAGUAACGCGUGGGCAACCUGCCUCAAGGAUCGGGAUAACAGCUCGAAAGGGCUGCUAAUACCGGAUAUGCCUAUGGCCUCGCAUGGGGCUGUGGGCAAAGGGGAAACCCGCCUUGAGAUGGGCCCGCGUCCCAUCAGCUAGUUGGUGAGGUGAAGGCUCACCCAAGGCGACGACGGGUAGCCGGCCCUGAGAGGGUGACCGGCCACACUGGGACUGAGACACGGCCCAGACUCCUACGGGGGCAGCAGUGGGGAUCUUGCACAAUGGGCGAAAGCCUGAUGCAGCGACGCCGCGUGAGCGAAGAAGGCCUUCGGUGUAAAGUUCUUUAUAUGUGAGCAGUGCUUCUUAUAUUAACAGUAAUGGGGUAGAGAGAUAUUAGCUAUAUGAAUAAGACAACGG
rnacentral:rRNA from 1 species